AGAGUUUGAUCCUGGCUCAGAAUCAACGCUGGCGGCGUGCCUAACACAUGCAAGUCGCACGAGAAAGUGGAGCAAUCCAUGAGUAAAGUGGCGUACGGGUGAGUAACACGUGACUAACCUACCUUCGAGUGGGGAAUAACCUCGGGAAACCGGGGCUAAUACCGCAUAACAUCUUCUGGCUGAGAUGCCGGUUGAUCAAAGUAGCAAUGCGCUGGAAGAGGAGUCCGCGGCUGAUUAGCUAGUUGGCGGGGUAAUGGCCCACCAAGGCGAAGAUCGGUAGCCGGCCUGAGAGGGCACACGGCCACACUGGCACUGAAACACGGGCCAGACUCCUACGGGAGGCAGCAGUGGGGAAUCUUGCACAAUGGAGGAAACUCUGAUGCAGCGACGCCGCGUGAGCGAUGAAGCCCUUCGGGGUGUAAAGCUCUUUCGACGGGAACGAUAAUGACGGUACCCGAAGAAGAAGCUGCGGCUAACUACGUGCCAGCAGCCGCGGUAAUACGUAGGCAGCAAGCGUUGUUCGGAAUUACUGGGCGUAAAGAGUGUGUAGGCGGUGUUCUAAGUUUGUCGUGAAAUCUCCCGGCUUAACUGGGAGGGUGCGGCGAAAACUGGAAUGCUAGAGGAUGGGAGAGGUAAGCGGAAUUCCUGGUGUAGCGGUGAAAUGCGUAGAUAUCAGGAGGAACACCUGUGGUGUAGACAGCUUACUGGACCAUUUCUGACGCUGAGACACGAAAGCGUGGGUAGCAAACAGGAUUAGAUACCCUAGUAGUCC
rnacentral:rRNA from 1 species